UUACCAACCCAUCGCCUCUCUUCAUACCCAAAAAAAGAAAAAACCCUCUCCUCUCUCUCGUUUCCGGCAGAGGUGAAGGCCCAAAAAAUGGUUUUCUAAAUUAUCUCCAACAUGCUCGCCCUCUCCUUCUCCCUCUACUUCGUUGCCUCGACUCCCUUCUUCCCUCUCCCCCAGUCUCUCGUUCCCUCAUCUCUCAUUCCCUCCACCCCGUGCGACAGUCGGAGUAGUUGGAUUCUGCAACUGAGGGACUUUGCUAAUGCUGGCAUGGUAGGACCGUAGGAGCCAGUGGUUUGCAGGUAAGUCAUGGCCUGACUUAGAUAUGCUACUAUGGGGUGGCUUGCUGAUCCAGGUGUCAAAGAAGGCCCACAUAGACUAUCUAAUCUCAGUCCAAAUGAGUAAAGAACUCAGGUGACUCUAUGGUCUAUGGCCAAAUCACCUCUCAUGUUUGGGGGUGAUGCCAAGGCAAAUUGAUAUGAGCACAUACAAGCUCAUCGCAAACCCUGUAUUGCUGAAAAUAAAUUCUUUUAGCAUAAACAACAUGGAGGCACGUACACUAUCCACCUUUUGAUCAUAUUAGUCAUUUCCAAAAGCAUUUAGAAGGAAAUUUGCAAUGGAAUAAUUAUAUGUUGUAAUUUCAGUUUCCUUACAUCUCUGGCACAAAUGUUUUAAGUGGCAAAAGGGGUUCUCACCAAGCAAUCUAGAAGUUUGAAAGUAUGAACCCAUAUUGGAAACAGGUGUUUCAGUUCCUACUAGCUGCAUGGAUCAGAAUUCUAAAGGUUAGGUUGUUGAAGCUAUUAGCUAACACCUUGAGCAGAUCUGUUGGAAGGAUUUCUUGGGAAGGAAGCAAACAAAAGCCUAAUAUUUGCUUCUAUAAGAAAAUGGUUCUCUUGACAUCUUACGGAAGAGAUGAAGAGAAAAUCAACAAACAGAAGUAAGAAGGAAAAUUUCCAACCAUAAAAAACAAAUGCACCAGAUUUUUCCUGGAUGCUCCUCCAAACCAGAUUACUCAUGAAGAGUCAAAGAACUUCUCAAUAUCCCCUUGCAGAUAGGGUGUCAACCAGAUUUGGAGCUAUACCGUAAUGGGAACUUAGUAAGCUGCUACUCUAGCCUGUGUGCAUUGGUGAAAAUGGCUAAACAUGAUAUACUUCGAGUGUUUAUUGGGUUUCCCCUGAUUGUGUUGUAAUAAGUGUGUGGCAAAAGAUUCCUUGAGGGAGAACGGAACAACUGUAGAGGAGGUGGACAAGUGUGAGGUUAAUUACUUCUCACAUUUCAUUCUUGUUUCUUUCUAAUUGUGGUGAUGAGUUAUUGAAUAGUGCCUAUGGCAAUAAAUUAGCUGUAAUAGACAUUCUUCUUCUCUUUCAUAAUUAGGACUGGUUUUUACUCUUUUUAUGUCAAUCAAAUUAAAACAAUGUUGCUGAUUUUGAGUAGCUUGAUGCCCAAAAUUUUGGGAUCAUGGUCACUUGGUUUUAUAGCAUUCAAGAACUUCAAGUGUAAAUCAAGAACACUCUUUCCUUCGUAGUGUGACAAACUCUGAUGGAGAGAGAAACUCUUCAGCUUA